rnacentral:rRNA from 1 species
GACGAACGCUGGCGGCGUGCUUAACACAUGCAAGUCGAACGGAAAGGCCCUGCUUUUGUGGGGUGCUCGAGUGGCGAACGGGUGAGUAACACGUGAGUAACCUGCCCUUGACUUUGGGAUAACUUCAGGAAACUGGGGCUAAUACCGGAUAGGAGCUCCUGCUGCAUGGUGGGGGUUGGAAAGUUUCGGCGGUUGGGGAUGGACUCGCGGCUUAUCAGCUUGUUGGUGGGGUAGUGGCUUACCAAGGCUUUGACGGGUAGCCGGCCUGAGAGGGUGACCGGCCACAUUGGGUCUGGGCUACGGCCCAGCCCCCUCCGGGAGGCAGCAGUGGGGAAUAUUGCACAAUGGGCGGAAGCCUGCUGCAGCAACGCGGCGUGCGGGAUGACGGCCUUCGGGUUGUAAACCGCUUUCGCCUGUGACGAAGCGUGAGUGACGGUAAUGGGUAAGGAAGCACCGGCUAACUACGU